AGUGCACACGGCGGAUGCCUUGGCAGUUAGAGGCGAUGAAAGACGUAGGAGCCUGCGAUAAGGCUAGGGGAGUUGGCAAGCAAACAUUGAUCCUAGCAUUUCUGAAUGGGGAAACCCACCCUUCGGGGUAUCAUGCACUGAAUACAUAGGUGUAUGAGGCGAACCCGGGGAACUGAAACAUCUAAGUACCCGGAGGAAAAGAAAUCAAACGAGAUUCCCUGAGUAGCGGCGAGCGAAAGGGGAACAGCCGAUCAUUAUUGAAGUAGUGGAAUCUACUGGAAAGUUGAGCGAUACAGGGUGAUAGCCCCGUACACGAAGCUUCAAUAGUGACAUAUUAAGUAGGUCGGGACACGUGUUAUCUUGACUGAAGAUGGGGGGACCAUCCUCCAAGGCUAAAUACUCCUAACUGACCGAUAGUGAACCAGUACCGUGAGGGAAAGGCGAAAAGAACCCCUGUGAGGGGAGUGAAAUAGAACCUGAAACCGUGUGCGUACAAGCAGUAGGAGCUUUUCGAAGUGACUGCGUACCUUUUGUAUAAUGGGUCAGCGACUUAAUGUAUGUGGCAAGGUUAACCAUCUAGGGGAGCCGUAGAGAAAUCGAGUCUUAAUAGGGCGUCGAGUCGCAUGCAUUAGACCCGAAACCCGGCGAUCUAUCCAUGGGCAGGUUGAAGGUUGAGUAACAUCAACUGGAGGACCGAACCCACUUAUGUUGAAAAAUGAGGGGAUGACUUGUGGAUCGGAGUGAAAGGCUAAUCAAGCCGGGAGAUAGCUGGUUCUCCCCGAAAGCUAUUUAGGUAGCGCGUCACAUCUUACCCUCGGGGGUAGAGCACUGUUUGGGCUAGGGGGUCAUCCCGACUUACCAACCCCAUGCAAACUCCGAAUACCGAGGAGUACAAUUGUGGCAGACAGACAGCGGGUGCUAACGUCCGUUGUCAAGAGGGAAACAACCCAGACCGCCAGCUAAGGUCCCUAAUACCAGUUAAGUGGGAAACGAUGUGGGAAGGCUUAGACAGCUAGGAGGUUGGCUUAGAAGCAGCCAUCCUUUAAAGAAAGCGUAAUAGCUCACUAGUCGAGUCGGCCUGCGCGGAAGAUUUAUCGGGGCUAAAACUGGUAACCGAAGCUGCGGAUGCUCUUUGAGCAUGGUAGGGGAGCGUUCUGUAAGCGGUUGAAGGUGAACUGAGAAGUUUGCUGGACGUAUCAGAAGUGCGAAUGCUGACAUGAGUAACGAUAAUGGGAGUGAAAAACUCCCACGCCGGAAGAUCAAGGUUUCCUGUCCAACGUUAAUCGGGACAGGGUAAGUCGGCCCCUAAGGCGAGGCAGAAAUGCGUAGUCGAUGGGAAACAGGUUAAUAUUCCUGUACCGUUUAUUACUGCGAUGGAGAGACGGAGAAGGCUAGGCCAGCAUGGCGUUGGUUGUCCAUGUUUAAGGUUGUAGGCUGGGGGAUUAGGCAAAUCCGGUCCCCUAAGGCUGAGAGCUGAUGACGAAGGUUUGCUUUGCAAACCGAAGUGGUUGAUGCCCUGCUUCCAAGAAAAUCUUCUAAGCUUCAGGUAAUAAAGACCGUACUCCAAACCGACACAGGUGAUCAGGUAGAGAAUACUAAGGCGCUUGAGAGAACUUGGGUGAAGGAACUAGGCAAAAUGGUACCGUAACUUCGGGAGAAGGUACGCCAACUCUGGUGAUGGGACUUGCUCCCUAAGCUGAGGUUGGUCGAAGUGACCAGGUGGCUGCGACUGUUUAUUAAAAACAUAGCACUGUGCAAACACGUAAGUGGACGUAUACGGUGUGACGCCUGCCCGGUGCCGGAAGGUUAAUUGAUGGGGUUAGCACUUGUGCGAAGCUCUUGAUCGAAGCCCCGGUAAACGGCGGCCGUAACUAUAACGGUCCUAAGGUAGCGAAAUUCCUUGUCGGGUAAGUUCCGACCUGCACGAAUGGCGUAACGAUGGCCACGCUGUCUCCACCCAAGACUCAGUGAAAUUGAAAUUGCGGUUAAGAUGCCGUAUCCCCGCGGCUAGACGGAAAGACCCCGUGAACCUUUACUAUAGCUUUGCACUGAACUUUGAGCCUACUUGUGUAGGAUAGCUGGGAGGCUUUGAAACCAUGACGCCAGUCGUGGUGGAGCCACACUUGAAAUACCAGCCUGGUAUGUUUGAGGUUCUAACUUAGGUCCCUUAUCGGGAUUGAGGACAGUGCAUGGUGGGUAGUUUGACUGGGGCGGUCUCCUCCCAAAGAGUAACGGAGGAGCACGAAGGUGUGCUAAUCAUGGUCGGACAUCAUGAGGUUAGUGUAAUGGCAUAAGCACGCUUGACUGCGAGACGUACAUGUCGAGCAGGUACGAAAGUAGGUCAUAGUGAUCCGGUGGUUCUGUAUGGAAGGGCCAUCGCUCAACGGAUAAAAGGUACUCCGGGGAUAACAGGCUGAUUCCUCCCAAGAGUUCAUAUCGACGGGGGAGUUUGGCACCUCGAUGUCGGCUCAUCACAUCCUGGGGCUGAAGCCGGUCCCAAGGGUAUGGCUGUUCGCCAUUUAAAGUGGUACGCGAGCUGGGUUUAGAACGUCGUGAGACAGUUCGGUCCCUAUCUGCCGUGGGCGUUGGAAAUUUGAGAAGAGCUGCUCCUAGUACGAGAGGACCGGAGUGGACGAACCCCUGGUGUUCGGGUUGUGUCGCCAGACGCAUUGCCCGGUAGCUACGUUCGGACGGGAUAACCGCUGAAAGCAUCUAAGCGGGAAGCCUCCUUCAAGAUGAGAUUUCCCUGGGGUUUAACCCCCUAAAGGGCCGUUGAAGACUACGACGUUGAUAGGCUGGGUGUGGAAGCGUUGU
rnacentral:rRNA from 1 species